CAUAUCACCAGAUCCUAACAUCAAUGAUUGGAAUACCAAUGAUGAUCAUUCUAAUGUCAAAUUACAAUUGAAAGUCCUAAUGUCCCUGGGUCAGAUUACACAUGUAUAUCAAGACAAACUACAUGUGCUACAUUGACGAAAAUCAAAAGGAAAAUGCCUACAUUAUGCAUCUUAGGAUCCAGUUUCUCACUUUAUUGAUGAUUUCUGGUGGAACAGAAUGUGGAGACAGUUGUAAUACUC